rnacentral:rRNA from 1 species
GACGAACCGUCCAAACGUUAUUCGGAAUUAUUGGGCUUAAAGGGUGCGUAGGCUGUGCAGUAAGUUGGGUGUGAAAUCCCUCGGCUCAACCGAGGAACUGCGCCGAAUACUGCUGUGCUAGAGGAAGAUAGGGGUAAGCGGAACUGAUGGUGGAGCGGUGAAAUGCGUUGAUAUCAUCAGGAACACCGGUGGCGAAGGCGGCUUACUGGACCGGUAUUGACGCUGAGGCGCGAAAGCCAGGGGAGCAAACGGG